rnacentral:rRNA from 1 species
CAUUACACAAAUAUGAAGGCGGGCUGGAACCUCUCGGGGUUACAGCCUUGCUGAAUUAUUCACCCUUGUCUUUUGCGUACUUCUUGUUUCCUUGGUGGGUUCGCCCACCACUAGGACAAACAUAAACCUUUUGUAAUUGCAAUCAGCGUCAGUAACAAAUUAAUAAUUACAACUUUCAACAACGGAUCUCUUGGUUCUGGCAUCGAUGAAGAACGCAGCGAAAUGCGAUAAGUAGUGUGAAUUGCAGAAUUCAGUGAAUCAUCGAAUCUUUGAACGCACAUUGCGCCCUUUGGUAUUCCAAAGGGCAUGCCUGUUCGAGCGUCAUUUGUACCCUCAAGCUUUGCUUGGUGUUGGGCGUCUUGUCUCUAGCUUUGCUGGAGACUCGCCUUAAAGUAAUUGGCAGCCGGCCUACUGGUUUCGGAGCGCAGCACAAGUCGCACUCUCUAUCAGCAAAGGUCUAGCAUCCAUUAAGCCUUUUUUUCAACUUUUGACCUCGGAUCAGGUAGGGAUACCCGCUGAACUUAAGCAUAUCA